AAACCAGCACCUCAAGUGGUCAGGAUGAUUAUUGGGCCUAAAGCAUCCGUAGCCGGCUCUGUAAGUUUUCGGUUAAAUCUGUACGCUCAACGUACAGGCUGCCGGGAAUACUGCAUAGCUAGGGAGUGGGAGAGGUAGACGGUACUCGGGAGGAAGUGGUAAAAUGCUUUGAUCUCUCGAUGACCACCUGUGGCGAAGGCGGUCUACCAGAACACGUCCGACGGUGAGGGAUGAAAGCUGGGGGAGCAAACCGGAUUAGAAACCCGAGUAGUCC
rnacentral:rRNA from 1 species